rnacentral:lncRNA from 1 species
CCAAGCCCACACCCCCGUCCUUCACUCUUCUGAACAAGUUUGUUCGGCUGCACCUUUCCCAUUGCGCAUCCCACA